GGGAAGGUGGCUCAGUGGUAGAGUGCUUGCCUUGCAUGCAUGAGGCCAUGGGUUUUAUUUCCCA
rnacentral:tRNA from 1 species